rnacentral:rRNA from 1 species
AGUGAACGCUGGCGGUAGGCCUAACACAUGCAAGUCGAACGGCAGCACAGUAAGAGCUUGCUCUUACGGGUGGCGAGUGGCGGACGGGUGAGGAAUACAUCGGAAUCUACUUUUUCGUGGGGGAUAACGUAGGGAAACUUACGCUAAUACCGCAUACGACCUACGGGUGAAAGCAGGGGAUCUUCGGACCUUGCGCGAUUGAAUGAGCCGAUGUCGGAUUAGCUAGUUGGCGGGGUAAAGGCCCACCAAGGCGACGAUCCGUAGCUGGUCUGAGAGGAUGAUCGGCCACACUGGAACUGAGACACGGUCCAGACUCCUAAGGGAAGCAGCAGUGGGGAAUAUUGGACAAUGGGCGCAAGCCUGAUCCAGCCAUACCGCGUGGGUGGAGAAGGCCUUCGGGUUGUAAAGCCCUUUUGUUGGGAAAGAAAAGCAGCAGGUUAAUACCCCGCUGUUCUGACGGUACCCAAAGAAUAAGCACCGGCUAACUUCGUG